rnacentral:rRNA from 1 species
AGUGAACGCUGGCGGUAGGCCUAACACAUGCAAGUCGAACGGCAGCACAGUAAGAGCUUGCUCUUACGGGUGGCGAGUGGCGGACGGGUGAGGAAUACAUCGGAAUCUACUUUUUCGUGGGGGAUAACGUAGGGAAACUUACGCUAAUACCGCAUACGACCUACGGGUGAAAGCAGGGGAUCUUCGGACCUUGCGCGAUUGAAUGAGCCGAUGUCGGAUUAGCUAGUUGGCGGGGUAAAGGCCCACCAAGGCGACGAGCCGUAGCUGGUCUGAGAGGAUGAUCAGCCACACUGGAACUGAGACACGGUCCAGACUCCUACGGGAGGCAGCAGUGGGGAAUAUUGGACAAUGGGCGCAAGCCUGAUCCAGCCAUACCGCGUGGGUUAAGAAGGCCUUCGGGUUGUAAAGCCCUUUUGUUGGGAAAGAAAAGCAGCAGGUUAAUACCCCGCUGUUCUGACGGUACCCAAAGAAUAAGCACCGGCUAACUUCGUG